CUAUUAUUAAGAAUAAAAACCAACUUAGAGAGUAGGUUUUCACUGAAAACUAUUUAGGGUGGCGGUUUUUUUUACUAUCAGAUGGAUGUGUUUCGAAGACGAAAUUGCACGAAUAUCUUACUUACUCUUGAAUAUACAUCCUGUACACCGCCGUCUGAAGGAUAAAUUUAAAACAUUAAUCCUAUUUCUUAAUCAGAAAUAAGUCAGGUAAGGUGCAGACUAUGAGUAAGAAGAAAUGCAUCUCCUUAGUUUCACGAGAAAAAGUAUGAAAAACUUUUUUUAGAAGAAUUUGAAAGUAAGUUUUUUUAAUUAUAAAAACCUGAAAUAGUAACAAGAAAAUGUACACAUCGCCCGU
rnacentral:rRNA from 1 species